UGAGCAUGUCUUGUGCAACCCAGCACAGCUAGUAUAAAAGCCAGUGACUGUUGACUGCUCAGCUCUCAAUAGAACAUCUCUGUCAUCCUCUCCAGGGUCCAGAGAACAUUGUGGGACAGGUGACAGGAAGUUGUAAGAGCCGGAGGAUGGGGAAGAUCACUAUGACACUAUGACAUACUGUCUUCUGGAUACGACACAGCUGCGGCAAACAGGAUCAAACCUUGUUUUGACACAUGAUCUUUCACUUGGCUCCGAGGCUCACAGAUUAGACCAGGCUAGCUGGCCAACAAGCUCUAGGGAUCCACCCAUCCCACCCUCUCCUGCUCUGGGGUUGCAAAGAACACCUGGUUUGACAUGUGGAUGCUGGAGAGCAAACUUAGGGCCUCAUCCUUGCUCAGCAAGCACUGGAUCAACUCAGUUCUUGUCCCAGCCCCUUUCUCUGACCUUGGGUGAACUGAAAGACUCUGGAAAUAUACCCAGAUUGAAAGAUUCACCAGGUCCUCUCUGAAUCCUUAAAGACAAAAGAAGAUCCUUGUGAGAGACUCUUUCAGGGGCUCAUCUCCCCUGCUUCUGUAAGCAACUGUAUUUCAACUCAUCGGGCCACCAAAUGAAUAAACAAAUAAAGAAAGAAGAGAAGAUCCUUCCUCCACACUUGCCAUCCUGCUGGGUGUCUGUCCUAGCUAGCUGUUACUGUCACCUUGACACAGCCUAGAGUCACCUGAGAAUGGAGUCUGACUGACCUGUGGACACAUCUGUGAGGAUUGCCUUGAUUGGUAACUGGCAGAGGCGGGCCUAGUCCACUGUGGGUAGCAUCAUUCCCUAGGUCAAGUGGUCCUGGGCCUAGCCCACUGUGGGUAGCAUCAUUCCCUAGGUCAAGUGGUCCUGGGCUAUAGAAGAAAGCUAGCUAAGGGUAAUCAAUGAGUGACCCACCCAGCAAGCAGCAUUUCUACAUGGUUUCUGCUUCAAGUUACUGCCCUGACUUCCCUCAAUGAUGGCCU
rnacentral:sRNA from 1 species